rnacentral:rRNA from 1 species
UGGCUAACUCCGUGCCAGCAGCCGCGGUAAUACGGAGGGGGCUAGCGUUAUUCGGAAUUAUUGGGCGUAAAGGGCGCGUAGGCGGGUUAAUAAGUUAAAAGUGAAAUCCCAAGGCUCAACCUUGGAAUUGCUUUUAAAACUGUUAAUCUAGAGAUUGAAAGAGGAUAGAGGAAUUCCUAAUGUAGAGGUGAAAUUCGUAAAUAUUAGGAGGAACACCAGUGGCGAAGGCGUCUAUCUGGUUCAAAUCUGAC